UACGGGGGGGGCAAGCGUUGUUCGGAAUUACUGGGCGUAAAGGGCUCGUAGGUGGCCAACUAAGUCAUACGUGAAAUCCCUCGGCUUAACCGGGGAACUGCGUCUGAUACUGGAUGGCUUGAGGUUGGGAGAGGGACGCGGAAUUCCAGGUGUAGCGGUGAAAUGCGUAGAUAUCUGGAGGAACACCGAAGGCGAAGGCAGUGUCCUGGCGAGUGACUGACGCUGAGGUGCGAAAGCCAGGGGAGCGAACGGG
rnacentral:rRNA from 1 species